rnacentral:lncRNA from 1 species
AUGUGCAACCGGUCAGAGGUCCUUAAAAUAUAUUGGAUAUAUGAUUUUUAAUCACUACUCUUAGUCUUGUAUUAUGAAUCCUGAUAUGCAAUAUCCUACUCCAUUGUAGAUUCUAUUCUACUGUAGAUCAUCGAUGCAGCCACAGCAUCAGUGGCCUUUGAACCACAAGCUCUUCACUUUGGAUGUGAUAUACCUUCAUGAUAAACCUGGACCUGAUAACUGCCCCCAGUUGGUGUACUAUAAUUUCUACCACAAUGUUUCCAUAACUCCAUUACAAAUCAAAAGCAUUAUUGAAUAACACACUCCAUGAAUUUAAAAAAUGUCGAAAACUCGAUUAGGCCUAUGUGGAAACCUCAUCUCAUACUCAAGCUACGAGAUUAAAUGGGUAAAAAACCAACUCGGUUGCAUUUUUUUGUGGUGAAUAAAAGAAACGCUUCCACCACCAGACCAAGUGUUAUCUUAACUUCAUUUGCAGUUAUAUAGGUUAUUUAAAACUGGAUUUGAGAAAUGAAAGAUAAAAUACUGCAAUUCAAACGUGCAGAAAAUCAAUAGGAUUUGAUUAAGGUUUAUGAUUGAAUUUAUCAAACCACAAAAUCUAAAAGCAAACUUAUAAAAAUUCGUUUGGUUUAAGUAAAAAUUGACACAGAAUAAACACAAACGCGAGGAAAUCAUUAAUUGAAUGAUUAAAAGAUGAAGAGUGGGAACUUACGGUGAAAUUUUGGAAUGACAUCUUUGAAACCUAGUAUUGUAUAGAACACCGUUAUAUGACGCAGCGAUCAUGGUGCCAAAAUCGAAACCCUAUAAGCUCAACAGAGUAAGAAACGAAUAGUAAUGAAAAGAAUAUUAAAUUAGAAAGAAGAAGAAAAAAAGCUUAUUUAUUCUAUUUUAAGUCUUUUUAGGCUGCGGUGGUUAAAGGAACAUGGCGGUGGGGUGGGUGAACUGAAAAGUCAUUAAUCAAACACGUUUACCUGUUAUUUUUCAAAGUUCAAAGAGGAAUGCUACGACGUCGUAUUCUACUUUCAUCAUGGGCUUUCAAUAAGCCCAAAUCCAUUUCUUAUUGGGCCUACGGAUCCAUUACUUAGAAAAGAUUAAAUAGCAGCAAAUUGAAUUAGAUGUAGAUGAUGAAUUGAUGAUGAUGAUGGAGGAAGGAGACAAGAGUAAGAGUAACAUGGUUGGGUUUGGUGAUGAAGGAGGAAGUAAUAGUAAAUACGUUUUGAAACCGAUGAGAAUGAACAGUGAAGAUAUACUAAUAUGCGUUGAUGUGGAUCCACAAUGUCUUGUGGAAAUGAAAGCUACUUCUUCAACCAAUGGUAGACCCAUAACUCGAUUGGAUUCUAUAAAGCAAGCUAUUAUUCUCUUCGUUAAUGCAAAACUCACUAUCAACCCUGAUCAUCGUUUCGCUUUCGCUACUCUCUCUACUUCUGUCUCUUGGGUUCGUUUUUUCCCCUUCUUCGCGUUCUUAUUUUACAUUGUUUUUGACCUAAGCAUUUUAAUUUUUACAGUAACUCAGUACUUGUGUUUUCUAUAUGUUAAUAGUAUAGGGGAAAUAAAUAAUAGCAGUUUAUUUUAUGAUUAUGAUGCAGGGGUAAGCAUAAUGAUAUGCAAUUUUAACUCUAGAAUGAUCUUUUUAUUGAUUUUCUUAUUGCUGGUUAUCAUUCUUGAGAGACAUAAAUGCAUUUGUCAUGAGUGAAUGUUUUGUAGUGUGCAUUAGAUGCUAUAUUCUUAGAGAUUCAUUUUUCAUAAGGUGCUUUCAUCAAUUGCCAUAUUGGCCUAUUGGAACAAAACAACAUCACUAUUUUUUUGUAUUCUAAUAUUCUAUGAUGUUGUACUAUUGGCUCCCUAAUUGUGGCAGAUAGGGAGUGCCAAAUGCAAAAACCUUUGAACCUUAGAGUAGACAUGUUGUUUCUGCUAUUGAAAUCGAUGUUAUCGAUCAAGGUAGCGACAAGGCUCGUCUGCUCCUUUUGUAAUAUUAAAAAAAGAAACAAAUUGUUUGAAGCUAGGUAGGAUGUGCUGCCUGCUCAUGUUCUGCAAACCAUUUUUUCCCUUCAAGUUAAAUGUCAUACUCCUAUCUAUGCAUAAUGCAUUCGUAUCUUCAUAGACGUUGAUUUCAUAAAAGCUCUUGGGUUUUUUCCAUGUUAGAUAUGACUCUUUCAGACAUUUUUUAUUUAUAGCAAGGGUGUAUUUGAAGCAUUUUUGUGUGUGUAUGUGUAUGUGCUUAUUUAAAUAACUACAGUUAAGGAAGGAGUUUAGCAGUGAAAUAGAAUCAACAAUUGCAGCAAUGCGGGGGCUUUCAGCUUCUUCAUCUAGUGGUCAAGCAGAUCUUACUAAUUUGUUCAGACUUGCUGCUCAUGAAGCUAAGAAAUCCCGCACUCAGGGUCGCAUUCUUAGAGUGGUAAGUAGUGGCUGCCCUCAAUUAUUUCUACAUCUUUUGGUUAGCAUAGAAAUUCAUUUCAUUUAUUAUCAUGUGCAACCGGUCAGAGGUCCUUAAAAUAUAUUGGAUAUAUGAUUUUUAAUCACUACUCUUAGUCUUGUAUUAUGAAUCCUGAUAUGCAAUAUCCUACUCCAUUGUAGAUUCUAUUCUACUGUAGAUCAUCGAUGCAGCCACAGCAUCAGUGGCCUUUGAACCACAAGCUCUUCACUUUGGAUGUGAUAUACCUUCAUGAUAAACCUGGACCUGAUAACUGCCCCCAGUUGGUGUACGAUACCCUAGUAGAAGCCCUUGAACAUGUGAG